AGUGAACGCUGGCGGCAGGCCUAACACAUGCAAGUCGAACGGUAACAGGCCCUUCGGGGUGCUGACGAGUGGCGGACGGGUGAGUAACGCUUAGGAAUCUACCUAGUAGUGGGGGAUAACCCGGGGAAACUCGGGCUAAUACCGCGUACGCCCUACGGGGGAAAGCGGGGGACUUUCGGCCUCGCGCUAUUAGAUGAGCCUAAGCCCGAUUAGCUAGUUGGUAGGGUAAUGGCCUACCAAGGCGACGAUCGGUAGCUGGCUGAGAGGACGACCAGCCACACUGGGACUGAGACACGGCCCAGACUCCUACGGGAGGCAGCAGUGGGGAAUAUUGGACAAUGGGCGCAAGCCUGAUCCAGCGAUGCCGCGUGUGUGAAGAAGGCC
rnacentral:rRNA from 1 species